rnacentral:rRNA from 1 species
UGGGGAAUCUUGGACAAUGGGGGCAACCCUGAUCCAGCCAUGCCGCGUGAGUGAUGAAGGCCUUAGGGUCGUAAAGCUCUUUCGCCUGUGAAGAUAAUGACGGUAGCAGGUAAAGAAACCCCGGCUAACUCCGUGCCAGCAGCCGCGGUAAUACGGAGGGGGUUAGCGUUGUUCGGAAUUACUGGGCGUAAAGCGCACGUAGGCGGACCAGAAAGUUGGGGGUGAAAUCCCGGGGGCUCAACCCCGGAACUGCCUCCAAAACUAUUGGUCUAGAGUUCGAGAGAGGUGAGUGGAAUUCCAAGUGUAGAGGUGAAAUUCGUAGAUAUUUGGAGGAACACCAGUGGCGAAGGCGGCUCACUGGCUCGAUACUGACGCUGAGGUGCGAAAAGUGUGGGGAGCAAACAGGAUUAGAUACCCUGGUAGUCCACACCGUAAAACGAUGAAUGCCAGUCGUCGGGUAGCAUGCUAUUCGGUGACACACCUAACGGAUUAAGCAUUCCGCCUGGGGA